rnacentral:rRNA from 1 species
UAAGGAAUCUUCCACAAUGGGGGCAACCCUGAUGGAGCAACGCCGCGUGCAGGAUGAAGGCCUUCGGGUUGUAAACUGCUUUUAUGAGCGAAGAAUAUGACGGUAACUCAUGAAUAAGGGUCGGCUAACUACGUGCCAGCAGCCGCGGUCAUACGUAGGACCCAAGCGUUAUCCGGAGUGACUGGGCGUAAAGAGUUGCGUAGGCGGUUAGUAAAGCGAAGAGUGAAAGAUGAUGGCUCAACCAUCAGAACAUUUUUCGAACUCACUAACUCGAGAAUGGUAGAGGUAGCUGGAAUUUCUAGUGUAGGAGUGAAAUCCGUAGAUAUUAGAAGGAACACCAAUGGCGUAGGCAGGCUACUGGACCAUUUCUGACGCUGAGGCACGAAAGCGUGGGGAGCGAA